CGAAGGGUGCAAGCGUUAGUCGGAAUUACUGGGCGUAAAGCGUGCGUAGGCGGUUUCUUAAGUCCGUUGUGAAAGCCCUGGGCUCAACCUGGGAACUGCAGUGGAUACUGAGAGGCUAGAGUGUGUCAGAGGAUGGUGGAAUUCCCGGUGUAGCGGUGAAAUGCGCAGAGAUCGGGAGGAACAUCAGUGGCGAAGGCGGCCAUCUGGGACAACACUGACGCUGAGGCACGAAAGCGUGGGGAGCAAACAGGAUUAGAUACCCUGGUAGUCCACGCCCUAAACGAUGCGAACUGGAUGUUGGGCUCAACUCGGAGCUCAGUGUCGAAGCUAACGCGUUAAGUUCGCCGCCUGGGGAGUACGGUCGCAAGACUG
rnacentral:rRNA from 1 species